rnacentral:rRNA from 1 species
UGCGUAGGCGGUGAUGUUAGUCAGGUGUUAAAUCCUUGGCUCAACCCAAGGCCCGCAUCUGAAACGGCAUUACUAGAAGAGGUCAGAGGUAAGCAGAACUCUCGGUGUAGGGGUGAAAUCCGUUGAUAUCGAGGGGAAUACCAAAUGCGAAGGCAGCUUACUGGGACUUUCUUGACGCUGAGGCACGAAAGCGUGGGUAGCGAACG